CCAAUAGCGUAUAUUAAAGUUGUUGCAGUUAAAAAGCUCGUAGUUGAAUUUCGGGAUUAGUACGUUGGUCGUGCCUUAGGUACGUACUGGUGUUACUGGUUCCUACCUUCUGACGAACCAUCAUGUCAUUAAUUUGGUGUGGCGGGGAAUCAGGACUGUUACUUUGAAAAAAUUAGAGUGUUUAAAGCAGGCUCGCGCUUGAAUACAUUAGCAUGGAAUAAUGAAAUAGGACGUUGACCCUAUUUUGUUGGUUUCUAGGAUUGACGUAAUGAUUAAUAGGGAUAGUUGGGGGCAUUAGUAUUCAAUUGUCAGAGGUGAAAUUCUUGGAUUUAUUGAAGACUAACUACUGCGAAAGCAUUUGCCAAGGAUGUUUUCAUUAAUCAAGAACGAAAGUUAGGGGAUCGAAGACGAUCAGAUACCGUCGUAGUCUUAACCAUAAACUAUGUCGACUAGGGAUCGGAUGAUGUUAAUUUUUUAAUGACUCAUUCGGCGCCUUACG
rnacentral:rRNA from 1 species